UACGUAGGUGGCGAGCGUUGUUCGGAAUUACUGGGCGUAAAGCGCGUGUAGGCUGCUCUGCAAGUCGGAUGUGAAAGCCCUGGGCUCAACCUGGGAAUGGCAUUGGAUACUGGCGACCUAGAGUGCGGUAGAGGGGUGUGGAAUUCCCGGUGCAGCAGUGAAAUGCGUAGAGAUCGGGAGGAACACCAGAGGCGAAGGCGGCAACCUGGACAAGCACUGACACUCAACUGCGAAAGCGUGGGGAGCAAACAGG
rnacentral:rRNA from 1 species